UGGAAUCGAACUUGGGACUGGAGAUUCUUCAGUCUGUAGGCCAACGCUCUAACCACUGAUCAAACCAGCUAAGGCAAUAGGAAUUCUUUUGAAGGAGCUAAACUCAGAUUAGGUCUCAGAUUAAGGCAUAAUGAGCAAUACUCUCUUUGAUGAGUAGAUAAUGAGGAAUUUUCCUUGGCUUGGAGCAGUAUACAAAUUUGUGCCUGGCAUAGGUGAGGCACUCAUCUGUGAUUAGAGGUAAGGCCUUCUAUGAUGCCCUCAGAACACAAGCAGAGCUACCCAAACUGGAAGUGCAGACACUGGUCCUUGGAGUGGCACAUUUCAGAUACCUGCACUUUGGAAUAGCAGGUCAGAUCUUGUUUUAUGGUGCCACCAGAGGAUUUUCCCUGUCUUUACAUGUCAUGGAAGGCCAUGAAUUUCACCUCAUCUAUUCCUUAUGGCAGUUAUGGACAGGUAAUGAGCAUCUUUACAUGUGCUUGUUUGACAUCCAUCAUUCUCCUUUACUCGUGUGUCCACCCCUCUCCCAUUUAGAUUGUUUGCCUCCUUAUUAUUGACUGGUUAGAGUUCUUUUGUGCAUUCAGCAUACAAGGAUUUAAUCAGAUACAGGGUUUGGAAACACGGUUUCCUAGUCUGUGGCUUUUACUUUUCAUAGCAGUAUCUUUCAGAGACCAGAAGUUUAAAAUUUUUAUUGUCUUAUUUAUUAAUUUUGUCUUUUAUGGUCAUGCUUAUUGUGUCCUAAGAAAUUUUUACCUAAACCAAGGUCACAAAUAUUUUCUAUGUUUUCUCUUAGGAGUUUUAUAGCUUUAGCUCUAACAAUUAGAACUGUUAUCCUUUUAGAGUGAAUUAUUUGUAAAAUCUGUAUGUAUUAAGCUUUAAUAAAAAGUUUUUACAGAAGUU